UUCGUCAAGAACCCGAAAACUCCUUCCCAAGAGAAUUCAUUAUCUUUCCUUGUGGAAAAGAACUGGUCAGUUUGUCACUGGCCUGUGAACGGUGGACACCAAGAUUUGUCCUUUCCUCUCUGUAUAAAGAAGAAUAAAGUGGAAACAGAGGCAGGCAACUUCCUCCGCCGUGUUAGAAAGGAAAGGGAGACUGCUUUACUGGAAGCUUCCGGUAUGGGAGAGGCGGGAAUGACUCUAAAAGAACUUGGAAGAGUCUUUCCGAGUCCUCCCAUACCGCAGAUUUCCAGUAGUUCCUCCCUUUACUUAUCUUCACUGUUCCAGCAGCUCUGGAUCACCCAGAUCUAUCGUCCUGUGAGGUAGAUCUUGUCAAGUCUGAUGCUUUGCUCAUAUCGUACAUAGCCAAGUCUCUUAGCUAAGGGAUACGAGCAGUCGAUUCUCUGCAGAAGUUCUCCAGUUUGUUCUUGGCAACAGUAGCAUGGAGGAGAUGCCCGCUUCCUCAUGGGAGAAUCCUUUUGCUAGAGUUUUAGCUAGAAUAACUAGAAGAAAGCUAUUUUAGCCUGCUCAUGCUCUCUGAAACAGGGAGUGAGUUUGCAGAGAGUCUUCUUGUAUACUGAAGUUCAUACUGAAAAUUAAUGAUUUUAAUUGCCUUUCUUCUUUCAAUUC